CCUACGGGUGGCAGCAGUGGGGAAUAUUGCACAAUGGGGGAAACCCUGAUGCAGCGACGCCGCGUGAGUGAAGAAGUAUUUCGGUACGUAAAGCUCUAUCAGCAGGGAAGAAAAAAAGUCCUUUGGACUUUGGACGGUACCUGACUAAGAAGCCCCGGCUAACUACGUGCCAGCAGCCGCGGUAAUACGGAGGGGGCAAGCGUUAUCCGGAUUUACUGGGUGUAAAGGGAGCGUAGACGGCAGCGCAAGUCUGGAGUGAAAUGCCGGGGCCCAACCCCGGAACUGCUUUGGAAACUGGGCAGCGGGAGUACAGGAGGGGCGGGCGGAAUUCCUGGUGUAGCGGUGAAAUGCGUAGAGAUUAGGAGGAACACCGGUGGCGAAGGCGGCCUGCUGGACUGUGACUGACGUUGAGGCCCGAAGGCGUGGGGAGCAAACAGGAUUAGAUACCCGGGUAGUC
rnacentral:rRNA from 1 species